UACGGAGGGUGCGAGCGUUGUCCGGAUUUAUUGGGCGUAAAGAGCUCGUAGGCGGCUUGUCGCGUCGAAUGUGAAAACUCGGGGCUCAACCCCGCACUUGCAUUCGAUACGGGCAGGCUCGAGUUCGGUAGGGGAGACUGGAAUUCCUGGUGUAGCGGUGAAAUGCGCAGAUAUCAGGAGGAACACCGGUGGCGAAGGCGGGUCUCUGGGCCGAUACUGACGCUGAGGAGCGAAAGCGUGGGGAGCGAACAGG
rnacentral:rRNA from 1 species